UUAUAUUUCCAAGAUCACUGCUUUUAUAAUUUAUAUUCAGGUAAACGAGAAAAUCCUUGGAAAUAUUUAUUUUCAGGAGGGGGUUCGCAAGACUUGCCAUUUUAGUGAAAGGGGUUCACAGGUUGUUAAAGUUUGGGAACCACUGGACUAUUAAAUUGU